rnacentral:tRNA from 1 species
AGCCUCUUAGUUUAAUAAAAAAUUUUUGUUUGUGGUACAAAAGAUUAUUUGGCUA